rnacentral:rRNA from 1 species
AGUAACUGCGAGUGAAGCGGCAAAAGCUCAAAUUUGAAAUCGGUGUGCAUAUAGUACAUCGAGUUGUAAUUUGGAGGGACAACUUCGGGCCGAACCACACCGUAAGUUUUUUGGAACAGGACAUCAUAGAGGGUGAGAAUCCCGUGUCUUGGUGUAGGGUCAAAUGUGAAGUGUCUCCGACGAGUCGAGUUGUUUGGGAAUGCAGCUCAAAAUGGGUGGUAAAUUUCAUCUAAAGCUAAAUAUUGGCGAGAGACCGAUAGCGCACAAGUAGAGUGAUCGAAAGAUGAAAAGCACUUUGAAAAGAGAGUUAAAAAGUACGUGAAAUUGUUGAAAGGGAAGCGCUUGCGACCAGACUUGAUCUUUGGGGAUCAGCCGGGCUUCUGUUCGGUGCCCUCUCCAUUGGUUGGGCCAGCAUCGGUUCCGACGGUGGGAUAAAAGGAGGCGGAAUGUGGCUCCCCUCGGGGAGUGUUAUAGCCACCUUCACAAUGCUACCAGUUGGGACCGAGGACCGCGCUUCGGCUAGGAUGCUGGUGUAAUGGUCUUAAGCGACCCGUCUUGAAACACGGACCAAGGAGUCUAACAUCUAUGCGAGUG